UACAGAGGGGGCAAGCGUUAUUCGGAAUUAUUGGGCGUAAAGGGCGCGUAGGCGGCUUGACAAGUGGAAGGUGAAAUCCCUCGGCUUAACCGAGGAACUGCCUUCCAGACUGUCUGGCUUGAGACCGGGAGAGGUGAGUGGAAUUCCCAGUGUAGCGGUGAAAUGCGUAGAUAUUGGGAGGAACACCAGUGGCGAAGGCGGCUCACUGGACCGGUACUGACGCUGAGGCGCGAAAGCGUGGGGAGCAAACGGG
rnacentral:rRNA from 1 species